rnacentral:rRNA from 1 species
UACGAAGGGGGCUAGCGUUGCUCGGAAUCACUGGGCGUAAAGGGUGCGUAGGCGGGUCUUUAAGUCAGGGGUGAAAUCCUGGAGCUCAACUCCAGAACUGCCUUUGAUACUGAGGAUCUUGAGUUCGGGAGAGGUGAGUGGAACUGCGAGUGUAGAGGUGAAAUUCGUAGAUAUCGAGAGGAACACCGGUGGCGAAGGCGGCCAACUGGACGAAUACUGACGCUGAGACACGAAAGCGUGGGGAGCAAACAGG